rnacentral:rRNA from 1 species
UACGUAGGGUCCGAGCGUUGUCCGGAAUUAUUGGGCGUAAAGGGCUCGUAGGCGGUCUGUUGCGUCGGGAGUGAAAACUUACAGCUUAACUGUGAGCGUGCUUUCGAUACGGGCAGACUUGAGGCAUUCAGGGGAGAACGGAAUUCCUGGUGUAGCGGUGAAAUGCGCAGAUAUCAGGAAGAACACCUAUGGCGAAGGCAGCUCUCUGGGACGGUACUGACGCUGAGACGCGAAAGCGUGGGGAGCGAACAGG